rnacentral:rRNA from 1 species
AGCAGCCGCGGUAAUUCCAGCUCCAAUAGCGUAUAUUAAAGUUGUUGCAGUUAAAAAGCUCGUAGUUGAAUUUCGGGGUUAGUAGGUUGGUCAUGCCUCUGGUAUGUACUGGUCUCACUGAUUCCUCCUUCCUGAUGAGCCGUAAUGCCAUUAAUUUGGUGUUGCGGGGAAUUUGGACUGUUACUUUGAAAAAAUUAGAGUGUUUAAAGCAAGCUAACGCUUGAAUACAUUAGCAUGGAAUAAUGAAAUAGGACGUUCGAUCCUAUUUUGUUGGUUUCUAGGAUUGACGUAAUGAUUAAUAGGGAUAGUUGGGGGCAUUAGUAUUCAAUUGUCAGAGGUGAAAUUCUUGGAUUUAUUGAAGACUAACUACUGCGAAAGCAUUUGCCAAGGAUGUUUUCAUUAAUCAAGAACGAAAGUUAGGGGAUCGAAGACGAUCAAAUACCGUCGUAGUCUUAACCAUAAACUAUGCCGACUAGGGAUCGGAUGAUGUUAAUUUUUUUAAUGACUCAUUCGGCGCCUU